GACGAACGCUGGCGGCGUGCUUAACACAUGCAAGUCGAACGGAAAGGCCCUGCUUUUGUGGGGUGCUCGAGUGGCGAACGGGUGAGUAACACGUGAGUAACCUGCCCUUGACUUUGGGAUAACUUCAGGAAACUGGGGCUAAUACCGGAUAGGAGCUCCUGCUGCAUGGUGGGGGUUGGAAAGUUUCGGCGGUUGGGGAUGGACUCGCGGCUUAUCAGCUUGUUGGUGGGGUAGUGGCUUACCAAGGCUUUGACGGGUAGCCGGCAUGAGAGGGUGACCGGGCACCAUGGGACUGAGAUACGGACCAGACUCCUACGGGAGGCAGCAGUGGGGAGUAUUACACAGCGAGAGCGAGCCUGAUACAGCAGCGCCGCGUGCGGGAUGACGGCUUUCGGGUUGUGAACAGCUUCCGCCUGUGACGCAGCGUGAGUGACGGUAAUGAGUAAAGAAGCACCGGCUAACUACGUG
rnacentral:rRNA from 1 species